GACGAACGCUGGCGGCGUGCUUAACACAUGCAAGUCGAGCGGCGCGGCGAACGGGUGAGGAACGCGUGAGUAACUGCCCCCCUCUCUGGGAUAACAGUUGGAAACGGCUGCUAAUACCGGAUAGUGGGGGCUGAAGCGCGUCCAAUCAGCUUGUUGGUGGGGUAGUGGCCUACCAAGGCGACGCCGGGUAGCCGGCCUGAGAGGGGGACCCGACACAUUGGGCUGAGAUACGGCCCGAACUCCUACGGGGGGCAGCAGUGGGGAAUAUUGCGCAAUGGGGGAAACCCUGAUGCAGGAACGCCGGGUGCGAGAGGACGGCCUUCGGGUUGGAAACCGCUUUCAGCCAGUACGCGGUAGUGGCAGAAGAAGCACCGGCUAACUACGUGCCAGCAGCCGCGGUAAUUC
rnacentral:rRNA from 1 species